rnacentral:rRNA from 1 species
UACGGGGGGGGCGAGCGUUGUUCGGAAUCACUGGGCGUAAAGGGCGCGUAGGCGGCCCGCACAUGUCUGCGGUGAAAACCCCCGGCUUAACCGGGGGCCGGCCGUGGAAACUGUUGGGCUGGAGGCUGGGAGAGGGCAGCGGAAUUCCCGGUGUAGCGGUGAAAUGCGUAGAGAUCGGGAGGAACACCGGCGGCGAAGGCGGCUGCCUGGACCAGUCCUGACGCUGAGGCGCGAAAGCUAGGGGAGCAAACAGG